ensembl:lncRNA
GCUCAAGUGUUCAAAGGUCUGUGUGUAUUAACAUAGACACUAAAGUUAUGAAAUAAUUAUAAUUAAAAAUCGACCUGUCCAUGAUAACGUGUGGUGUUUACAUGUAACAUAUUGUGUUUUCUAUGUAACACAGACAAAAAUUAACUUUCAAACAGAACAUACAGGUAGGACAGAUGUGGGGUACAGUAGGACACAGGACAGGUAGGACACAGGACAGGUAGGACACAGGACAGUAAUACUGGUGUGACUACAGGUAGGACACAGAACAGGUACAGUAGGACACAGGGCAGGUAGGACACAGGACAGUAAUACUGGUGUGACUACAGGUAGGACACAGGACAGGUAGGACUCAGGACA